GCCACCAUUGAAAACAGAAUGUGAACUACUGUCCAGAAGCCCUCUGUGAACUUCAGGUCUGCCUUAGGAGGGACGCUUCCAGCGAGGGAGCGCGUGAUGAAGUCUGCAGGCAUUGCUGGGGCAACGCUAAGUGGCCGCUGGCCAGGGUAGAAGUUAAACCAGGAGAUGGCUGUCAAAUGCAGUUGUUAGGUGUGGCACAUCUUUCUCAAGCUGCUGAGCUGAGCAGGAAAGAGAGACGUUUGUUUAUGGAUUUAUCUCAUCUAUAAGACACUCUUAUUAGAUGAACUCUAUAUCAGUUCUAUGUAGAACUCUGUACCAGUUCUAUAAGGCACUCUUUAAUCUGAAUCUUUUUAUUUGCUCAAGAGAAAAAUAAGUCUGACUUGCAUCCCAUUGAAGAUUUAGAUUGCACUGUUUACAUCUUUCACCUGCGCCGCGGUAGCGUCCUCUACCGAUGCUAUCCUACGUUGAUUUUUCCAGCAACCUGGGAAGCAACCUCAUAGGUGGUUUGGGAUGUCUUUUGGCUGUGCUUAAAAAUUUCCAACAGAUUUGCUACACAUCUUAGGAUAAAUAUGUUUCCUGUGAAUUGUGAUGAUUUCUUACAGUACAUUUGCAAGCAUGUGUAUGCAUCUGCAGGAAACAUAGCCUGGCUCUGUGAAGGAAUACUGCUGUGACCGCAAAACUGUUUCUGUAGAAUUUUCUCCGGUGUGGUCAUCCUGCCUUCAGGAGGAAAAUAGAGCAAAAAGGUAGAACUUACUUCCACACCCAAGUUUCUCCUGAAAGCACUGUGCCUGUUUUGUUUGCUACACAUCUUGGGUAUGUAUGUUUGCAUCUAUGCAUGCAGGCAUGCAUGAGUUAUUUAUGUGUGUUAUUUGGUCCAGCCUUGAAGCUCCUUUUAUUUUUCAGUGAAUUGAAAGAAGGUAACCUUUGGAUGUAUAUAUUUUAGUGCUCCAGCAGAUUACCAGUGAAACAUGCCGACUCUCACCAAACCACCCCAUGUUGCCAAAUCUUCUCUCUUGGCCCUGAUGAUGUGCAACUUAAAACCAAGGUCCAGGUUGACUGCACAGCAGAGUUUACUGUUCGCUCUCUCGCUCUCUCUCCUCUCUCUUUUUUUCUGUAAGCCCAAUAAAUCUGCCCUAUCACGUCAUUGAGGCCACAAGGAAAUGUAAUCCUGCCAAGUGUGGGAGUUAACAAAAACUGCCAAAGUCUUAAGGUUGCAGAGAGAGCAAGAACCACUUUCUGGGUUACGCAUGUCUACUGUGUAUGUGCAGGGGUGCCAUGUGUAUGUACCGCGUGUGUGUGUGGGUACUGUGUGUGUGCAUGGAUGCUAUGUGGAUUCACCAUGCACUACCAUGUGUGCAUGAGCACCAUGUGUGUACACUGAGAGUGUAUGUGGCUAGCAGGUGUGUGUACUCUGUGUACCUGAGCACUGUGCGUACCUGUGCACUGAGCCUAUAUAUGGGCAUGUGUUUAUAGCAUGUAUGCAUGUGUGCUAUGUGUAUAUACCAUGCACUUGCACACAUAUACUGUGUGUGCAGCACACCAGAUGCCACAGAUAUGGUGGCGGGAGGGUCAAUGACAGGGAACUGGGGGGAGGCAGGUGUGAGGCAGGCCUGCUUGGGAACAGGUAAAUCACUUAAGGAUGCAGUGCUUUUCAUCUGCUUUGCUGCUCUUUUCCUCUUAAGCAGCAUGCGCUGAGAUUGCAGAAACCUGAAAGAUAGGGAAAGUGUGUAUCCCAUCUCCCCUUCCUGCCUGACUCUCAAGUAAGUUUUCUUUAAGUAUCUUUUUUCUUCAGCUUCAGGAAAAAGAGGACCUUAGAACUGAAGGAGCAAGAUUCCAACAUCACACUGUUUUUGUUAGCUGUGUGUGUGUGUUUCCUGUGUAUCCAAAAGACAGAGGAGAUGAAAAAGCAAAAGAAAAGAAACGAGGAAUCAGAUUGGAAAGAAGGUUUCUCCAGGACGUCACCUGUAUGAGGUACACAGUGUGAUGACACACUCUGUGCUUUUCCUACUUGUGUCCACGGCUCAAGCCUGGAAGAAGCCUUAGGACGUGGGGGAAAUGUCUAACGUGGAGUCCACCUGCUGAGCAGGACCGGGUGUGAAGGAAGAAGCUUUGUUCUGAUUCCUCAUGGCCCAGCCACCCCUCGCCUGAGCUGAGCCUGGCCACAGGGCCCGCCUGCAGGAAGGGCUGGCCCAUGGCUUCACACUGGGCUCAGGCUGCGCUAAGAGCCCCGGGUGAGGACCUCCAAGCCCAGGAAGCCUCAGUUGGCCAAAGUGCUAGAUGCGUGUGGUCUGCUUUCAUCCCCGCUUCCCUCAGAGCUUGCAUUUUCCAAAUUCAAGAGAGGCUCCACCUUCAAGAAGACCGGCCUGUCCCUGUUAUUUAUGUGUCCCCCUACCAUAUCUCCCUUUGUUCUGCAGAGCGGUACGCAUAAAAAGCUUUUGGGGA
rnacentral:lncRNA from 1 species